rnacentral:rRNA from 1 species
UUAAGCGACUAAGCGUACACGGUGGAUGCCCUGGCAGUCAGAGGCGAUGAAGGACGUGCUAAUCUGCGAUAAGCGUCGGUAAGGUGAUAUGAACCGUUAUAACCGGCGAUUUCCGAAUGGGGAAACCCAGUGUGAUUCGUCACACUAUCAUUAACUGAAUCCAUAGGUUAAUGAGGCGAACCGGGGGAACUGAAACAUCUAAGUACCCCGAGGAAAAGAAAUCAACCGAGAUUCCCCCAGUAGCGGCGAGCGAACGGGGAGCAGCCCAGAGCCUGAAUCAGUGUGUGUGUUAGUGGAAGCGUCUGGAAAGGCGCGCGAUACAGGGUGACAGCCCCGUACACAAAAAUGCACAUGCUGUGAGCUCGAUGAGUAGGGCGGGACACGUGGUAUCCUGUCUGAAUAUGGGGGGACCAUCCUCCAAGGCUAAAUACUCCUGACUGACCGAUAGUGAACCAGUACCGUGAGGGAAAGGCGAAAAGAACCCCGGCGAGGGGAGUGAAAAAGAACCUGAAACCGUGUACGUACAAGCAGUGGGAGCACGCUUAGGCGUGUGACUGCGUACCUUUUGUAUAAUGGGUCAGCGACUUAUAUUCUGUAGCAAGGUUAACCGAAUAGGGGAGCCGAAGGGAAACCGAGUCUUAACUGGGCGUUAAGUUGCAGGGUAUAGACCCGAAACCCGGUGAUCUAGCCAUGGGCAGGUUGAAGGUUGGGUAACACUAACUGGAGGACCGAACCGACUAAUGUUGAAAAAUUAGCGGAUGACUUGUGGCUGGGGGUGAAAGGCCAAUCAAACCGGGAGAUAGCUGGUUCUCCCCGAAAGCUAUUUAGGUAGCGCCUCGUGAACUCAUCUCCGGGGGUAGAGCACUGUUUCGGCAAGGGGGUCAUCCCGACUUACCAACCCGAUGCAAACUGCGAAUACCGGAGAAUGUUAUCACGGGAGACACACGGCGGGUGCUAACGUCCGUCGUGAAGAGGGAAACAACCCAGACCGCCAGCUAAGGUCCCAAAGUCAUGGUUAAGUGGGAAACGAUGUGGGAAGGCCCAGACAGCCAGGAUGUUGGCUUAGAAGCAGCCAUCAUUUAAAGAAAGCGUAAUAGCUCACUGGUCGAGUCGGCCUGCGCGGAAGAUGUAACGGGGCUAAACCAUGCACCGAAGCUGCGGCAGCGACGCUUAUGCGUUGUUGGGUAGGGGAGCGUUCUGUAAGCCUGUGAAGGUGUACUGUGAGGUAUGCUGGAGGUAUCAGAAGUGCGAAUGCUGACAUAAGUAACGAUAAAGCGGGUGAAAAGCCCGCUCGCCGGAAGACCAAGGGUUCCUGUCCAACGUUAAUCGGGGCAGGGUGAGUCGACCCCUAAGGCGAGGCCGAAAGGCGUAGUCGAUGGGAAACAGGUUAAUAUUCCUGUACUUGGUGUUACUGCGAAGGGGGGACGGAGAAGGCUAUGUUGGCCGGGCGACGGUUGUCCCGGUUUAAGCGUGUAGGCUGGUUUUCCAGGCAAAUCCGGAAAAUCAAGGCUGAGGCGUGAUGACGAGGCACUACGGUGCUGAAGCAACAAAUGCCCUGCUUCCAGGAAAAGCCUCUAAGCAUCAGGUAACAUCAAAUCGUACCCCAAACCGACACAGGUGGUCAGGUAGAGAAUACCAAGGCGCUUGAGAGAACUCGGGUGAAGGAACUAGGCAAAAUGGUGCCGUAACUUCGGGAGAAGGCACGCUGAUAUGUAGGUGAAGCGACUUGCUCGUGGAGCUGAAAUCAGUCGAAGAUACCAGCUGGCUGCAACUGUUUAUUAAAAACACAGCACUGUGCAAACACGAAAGUGGACGUAUACGGUGUGACGCCUGCCCGGUGCCGGAAGGUUAAUUGAUGGGGUCAGCGCAAGCGAAGCUCUUGAUCGAAGCCCCGGUAAACGGCGGCCGUAACUAUAACGGUCCUAAGGUAGCGAAAUUCCUUGUCGGGUAAGUUCCGACCUGCACGAAUGGCGUAAUGAUGGCCAGGCUGUCUCCACCCGAGACUCAGUGAAAUUGAACUCGCUGUGAAGAUGCAGUGUACCCGCGGCAAGACGGAAAGACCCCGUGAACCUUUACUAUAGCUUGACACUGAACAUUGAGCCUUGAUGUGUAGGAUAGGUGGGAGGCUUUGAAGUGUGGACGCCAGUCUGCAUGGAGCCGACCUUGAAAUACCACCCUUUAAUGUUUGAUGUUCUAACGUUGACCCGUAAUCCGGGUUGCGGACAGUGUCUGGUGGGUAGUUUGACUGGGGCGGUCUCCUCCUAAAGAGUAACGGAGGAGCACGAAGGUUGGCUAAUCCUGGUCGGACAUCAGGAGGUUAGUGCAAUGGCAUAAGCCAGCUUGACUGCGAGCGUGACGGCGCGAGCAGGUGCGAAAGCAGGUCAUAGUGAUCCGGUGGUUCUGAAUGGAAGGGCCAUCGCUCAACGGAUAAAAGGUACUCCGGGGAUAACAGGCUGAUACCGCCCAAGAGUUCAUAUCGACGGCGGUGUUUGGCACCUCGAUGUCGGCUCAUCACAUCCUGGGGCUGAAGUAGGUCCCAAGUGUAUGGCUGUUCGCCAUUUAAAGUGGUACGCGAGCUGGGUUUAGAACGUCGUGAGACAGUUCGGUCCCUAUCUGCCGUGGGCGCUGGAGAACUGAGGGGGGCUGCUCCUAGUACGAGAGGACCGGAGUGGACGCAUCACUGGUGUUCGGGUUGUCAUGCCAAUGGCACUGCCCGGUAGCUAAAUGCGGAAGAGAUAAGUGCUGAAAGCAUCUAAGCACGAAACUUGCCCCGAGAUGAGUUCUCCCUGACUCCUUGAGAGUCCUGAAGGAACGUUGAAGACGACGACGUUGAUAGGCCGGGUGUGUAAGCGCAGCGAUGCGUUGAGCUAACCGGUACUAAUGAACCGUGAGGCUUAACCUU